rnacentral:rRNA from 1 species
ACACGACCGUACCGCAAACCGACACUGGUGCGCGAGAUGAGUAUUCUAAGGCGCUUGAGAGAACUCAGGAGAAGGAACUCGGCAAAUUGACACCGUAACUUCGGAAGAAGGUGUGCCUUUAGUAGGUGAAGUCCCUCCCGGAUGGAGCCCAAUGAGGUUGCAAAAAAUCGGUGGCUGCGACUGUUUAUUAAAAACACAGCACUCUGCAAACACGAAAGUACGUAUAGGGUGUGACGCCUGCCCGGUGCUGGAAGAUUAAAUGAUGGGGUGCAAGCUCUUGAUUGAAGUCCCAGUAAACGGCGGCCGUAACCAUAACGGUCCUAAGGUAGCGAAAUUCCUUGUCGGGUAAGUUCCGACCUGCACGAAUGGCGUAACGAUGGCCACACUGUCUCCUCCUGAGACUCAGCGAAGUUGAAAUGUUUGUGAUGAUGCAAUCUCCCCGCGGAAAGACGGAAAGACCCCAUGAACCUUUACUGUAGCUUUGUAUUGGACUUUGAACAGAUCUGUGUAGGAUAGGUGGGAGGCUUUGAAGCAGGGUCGCUAGAUCUUGUGGAGCCAACGUUGAAAUACCACCCUGGUGUGUUUGAGGUUCUAACCUAGGCCCGUAAUCCGGGUUGGGGACAGUGCAUGGUAGGCAGUUUGACUGGGGCGGUCUCCUCCCAAAGUGUAACGGAGGAGUUCGAAGGUACGCUAGUUACGGUCGGACAUCGUGACGAUAGUGCAAUGGCAUAAGCGUGCUUAACUGCGAGACUGACAAGUCGAGCAGAUGCGAAAGCAGGACAUAGUGAUCCGGUGGUUCUGUAUGGAAGGGCCAUCGCUCAACGGAUAAAAGGUACUCUGGGGAUAACAGGCUGAUACCGCCCAAGAGUUCAUAUCGACGGCGGUGUUUGGCACCUCGAUGUCGGCUCAUCUCAUCCUGGGGCUGUAGCCGGUCCCAAGGGUAUGGCUGUUCGCCAUUUAAAGAGGUACGUGAGCUGGGUUUAAAACGUCGUGAGACAGUUUGGUCCCUAUCUUCCGUGGGCGCUGCAGAUUUGAGGAAGCCUGCUCCUAGUACGAGAGGACCGGAGUGGACGCACCUCUGGUGUAUCGGUUGUCACGCCAGUGGCAUUGCCGAGUAGCUAUGUGCGGAAGAGAUAACCGCUGAAAGCAUCUAAGCGGGAAACUCGUUUCAAGAUGAGAUCUGCCGGGGCCUUGAGCCCCCUGAAGAGUCGUUCAAGACCAGGACGUUGAUAGGUCGGGUGUGGAAGCGCAGUAAUGCGUUAAGCUAACCGAUACUAAUUGCUCGUGCGGCUUGACCU